AGUCUGACCUGCCCACUGAAGUUAUUUAAAUGGCCGCAGUAUUCUAACUGUGCAAAGGUAGCAUAAUCAUUAGUCUUUUAAUUGAGGGCUGGUAUGAACGGUUGGACGAGGUAUAAGCUGUUUCAUAUGAAUUUAUAGUAGAAUUUUAUAUUUUAGUAAAAAAGCUAAAAUUUUAUUAAAAGACGAGAAGACCCUAUAAAUCUUUAUAUUUUAUAUUGUUUAAAUUUUUUAGAUUUUUUUUAUUUUCAUAAUUUGAAAUAUUUUGUUGGGGUGAUGUUAAAAUUUAAUGAACUUUUAAUUAUUUAGAGUCAUUAAUUUAUGAGUUAUUGAUCCAUUAAUAGUGAUUAUAARAUUAAGUUACUUUAGGGAUAACAGCGUAAUUUUUUUGGARAGUUCAUAUCGAUAAAAAAGUUUGCGACCUCGAUGUUGGAUUAAGAUAUAUUUUUAGGUGUAGCCGCUUAAAC
rnacentral:rRNA from 1 species